UUCUAUUCAACCGCAUUGCUCCAGUUUACGAUAACUUGAAUGAUCUCUUAAGCUUAGGCCAGCAUCGAAUUUGGAAUGGAGUGGAGCAAAAUCAGGAGAUAACGUUCUUGAUUUGUGUUGUGGAAGUGGUAAUUUAGCGUUUCUCUUG